GAUGAAGAACGUAGCGAAAUGCGAUAAGUAAUGUGAAUUGCAGAAUUCCGUGAUUCAUCGAAUCUUUGAACGCACAUUGCGCCCCCUGGCAUUCCGGGGGGCAUGCCUGUCCGAGCGUCAUUUCUGCCCUCCAGCCCGGCUGGGUGUUGGGCGCUGUCCCCCCGGGGACACGCCCCAAAGGCAGUGGCGGCGCCGCGUCGGGUCCUCGAGCGUAUGGGGCUUUGUCACCCGCUCGGGACGGACUCGUCGGCGCUGGUCUUCCUCCAGGCGACCCUUCGGGGCUCGUCUUCCUUCGGUUGACCUCGGAUCAGGUAGGGUUACCCGCUGAACUUAAGCAUAUCAAUAAGCGGAGGA
rnacentral:misc_RNA from 1 species